rnacentral:rRNA from 1 species
GACGAACGCUGGCGGCGUGCUUAACACAUGCAAGUCGAACGGAAAGGCCCUGCUUUUGUGGGGUGCUCGAGUGGCGAACGGGUGAGUAACACGUGAGUAACCUGCCCUUGACUUUGGGAUAACUUCAGGAAACUGGGGCUAAUACCGGAUAGGAGCUCCUGCUGCAUGGUGGGGGUUGGAAAGUUUCGGCGGUUGGGGAUGGACUCGCGGCUUAUCAGCUUGUUGGUGGGGUAGUGGCUUACCAAGGCUUUGACGGGUAGCCGGGCUGAGAGGGUGACCGGCCACAUUGGGACUGAGAUAAGGCCCAGAGUCCUACGGGAGGCAGCAGUGGGGAAUAUUGCAUAAUGGGCGGAAGCCUGAUGCAGCAACGCCGCGUGCGGGAUGACGGCCUUCGGGUUGUAAACCGCUUUCGCCUGUGACGAAGCGUGAGUGACGGUAAUGGGUAAAGAAGCACCGGCUAACUACGUG